AACAUCUUUUCUUGUUAGUUUUUGAAGUAUGGCCUGCCCGCUGACUUUUGGUUGAAGGGCCGCGGUAUUUUGACCGUGCAAAGGUAGCAUAAUCAUUAGUUCUUUAAUUGUGAUCUGGAAUGAAUGGCUUGACGAGAUGCGAGCUGUCUUAAAUUUGAAUGUUUUGUUGAAUUUGGUUUUUGAGUUAAAAUUCUUAGAUGUUUUUAUGGGACGAGAAGACCCUAUAGAGUUUGACAUGUUGGUUUGCUUAUUUAUUUGUCGUUUGUUUUGUUUUUGAUAAGUGGGCUUUGUGUUUUGUUGGGGUGAUGAGAGGAAUAUGAUUUAACUCCUCUUGGUUUAGAGUUUAUAUUGAUUUAUAUUUAUUU
rnacentral:rRNA from 1 species